UACGAAGGGGGCUAGCGUUGUUCGGAAUAACUGGGCGUAAAGCGCACGUAGGCGGAUUGUUAAGUCGGGGGUGAAAUCCCGGGGCUCAACCCCGGAACUGCCUUCGAUACUGGCAAUCUUGAGUCCGAGAGAGGUGAGUGGAAUUCCGAGUGUAGAGGUGAAAUUCGUAGAUAUUCGGAGGAACACCAGUGGCGAAGGCGGCUCACGGGCUCGGUACUGACGAUGAGGUGCGAAAGCGUGGGGAGCAAACAGG
rnacentral:rRNA from 1 species